CAGCCCAGCUCCAGUGUUUCCACCCAUCUGUUGGCAGCCCCUGCAGUAACAACCCCCCUCACUCACUCUCUCCCCACAACCUGGAUAUUUCAGACCAAUUUGCUCUUGUCAGCUCAGCCACGAGACAGUUAAUUGCAUGGCUACAAACAGGGAACCACGCACAGGACUUCAGGAAAGUCACCAGCAGGGACGACGACACUCUCAAAAUGGACCCAGAAGAGCUGCAAAAUGACCAUGAUAAUGAUUUAGGUGGGCACACCCAGUUUGAAGCAUCGAUCAAAGCCCUCAGCCCAGUUCAGCAUCAGGAGGUGUUACCCGAGGGCACUGGGCCCCCAUCACAGAUGGAGCAAAGAUAACCCUGCAGGAGCCUCGAGCAUCAGGGCACAAAGAAGAAAUCAAAAGUGGUACAAAAUCUCAGCAAAGGGAAGGGAGUGAAGGAGAUGCUGGUGCAGCUGCACAGAGCAACCAGCUUGGUCUGAAUGCCAAUUUUUGGGGCUUCCUAAUGAUUUCAUCACAGACAGGACAAACUGGAUCAGCUGCAAGCUGGGUCCAUGCAGAUGUACCAGGAAAAUUUGCCUGUUUUCCUGGUGGAAGAUAUUCCAAAACCACUCAGUAAAUGGCAAGUGCUUAUUUCCAGGAUAAUUUGUCGCUAUUUCCUUUGGAUCUUUUGCUUGUUUCGUGAGAGAAAAAAAAAUACAAGUUCCAUUUAAUAAAAAACA